rnacentral:rRNA from 1 species
GACGAACGCUGGCGGCGUGCUUAACACAUGCAAGUCGAACGAUGAAGAAAAGAAUCGAAGCUUCGGCAGAAAUUCAUUUCGGAUUAGUGGCAGACGGGUGAGUAACGCGUGAGCAACCCACCUCUUACAAAGGGAUAGCCUCGGGAAACCGGGAUUAAUACCAUAUAACAUUGCGACGAAGCAUUUCGAUGCAAUCAAAGCUACGGCGGUAAGAGAUGGGCUCGCGUCCCAUUAACCGGAUGGUGAGGUAACGGCUCACCAUAGUGACGAUGGGUAACCGGCCUGAGAGGGUGAACGGUCACACUGGAACUGAGACACGGUCCAGACUCCUACGGGAGGCAGCAGUGGGGAAUAUUGCACAAUGGAGGGAACUCUGAUGCAGCGACGCCGCGUGAGUGAUGAAGGAAUUCGUUUCGUAAAACUCUGUUCUAUGGGAAGAAAAGGACUGUACCAUAGGAGAAAGCUCCGGCUAAAUACGUG